UACGUAGGGUGCAAGCGUUAAUCGGAAUUACUGGGCGUAAAGCGUGCGCAGGCGGCUUUGCAAGACAGAUGUGAAAUCCCCGGGCUUAACCUGGGAACUGCAUUUGUGACUGCAUGACUGGAGUGCGGCAGAGGGGGAUGGAAUUCCGCGUGUAGCAGUGAAAUGCGUAGAUAUGCGGAGGAACACCGAUGGCGAAGGCAAUCCCCUGGGCCUGCACUGACGCUCAUGCACGAAAGCGUGGGGAGCAAACAGG
rnacentral:rRNA from 1 species